rnacentral:sRNA from 1 species
CCCACUUAUUGCACUACAUCACUGAGUUCCCGUAUGCCAAGUUAUGGCCACUUACAUCCACGUCAGCAAAACUGGUGCCGAGGGAGCUGUUCUCGACGAAGCUAAAAAUAUCAAUAAGUCUUUGUCUGCUCUUGGAAAUGUGAUCUCUGCUUUGGCAGAAGGGACAAAAACACAUGUGCCAUACCGGGACAGCAAGAUGACUCGGAUUCUUCAGGACUCUUUGGGUGGGAACUGCAGAACCACUAUCGUUAUUUGCUGUUCUCCUUCUGUCUUCAAUGAGGCUGAGACCAAGUCCACACUGAUGUUCGGACAGAGAGCUAAGACCAUCAAGAAUACCGUCUCUGUGAACCUAGAACUGACAGCAGAAGAAUGGAAGAAGAAAUAUGAAAAAGAGAAAGAGAAAAACAAGACUUUGAAGAAUGUUAUCCAGCAUCUGGAGAUGGAGCUAAACAGGUGGAGGAAUGGAGAAGCUGUGCCUGAGGAUGAGCAGAUCAGUGCUAAGGACCAGAAGAACCUGGAGCCUUGUGAUAACACCCCCAUCAUAGACAAUAUUGCUCCUGUUGUUGCUGGCAUCUCUACAGAGGAGAAAGAGAAGUACGAUGAGGAGAUCUCCAGUCUCUACAGACAACUGGAUGACAAGGAUGAUGAAAUUAACCAGCAGAGCCAGCUGGCUGAAAAGCUGAAGCAACAGAUGUUGGAUCAGGAUGAGCUUUUAGCUUCCACAAGAAGAGACUAUGAGAAGAUACAGGAGGAGCUGACACGUCUCCAGAUUGAAAAUGAGGCAGCCAAGGAUGAGGUGAAAGAAGUUCUCCAGGCCCUGGAGGAGCUGGCUGUCAAUUACGACCAGAAAUCACAGGAAGUGGAGGAUAAGACCCGGGCCAAUGAGCAGCUGACAGACGAGCUGGCCCAGAAAACGACUACAUUGACAACCACACAGAGAGAGCUGAGCCAGCUACAAGAGCUUAGCAACCACCAGAAGAAAAGGGCAACUGAGAUCCUGAAUUUGCUGUUGAAAGAUCUGGGGGAGAUAGGUGGAAUUAUUGGCACCAAUGAUGUGAAAACUUUGGCAGAUGUGAAUGGAGUCAUUGAGGAGGAGUUUACCAUGGCCCGCCUGUACAUCAGCAAGAUGAAGUCAGAGGUCAAGUCCCUGGUGAACCGCAGUAAACAGCUUGAGAGCGCCCAGAUGGACUCCAACAGGAAGAUGAACGCCAGCGAGCGGGAGCUGGCAGCCUGCCAGCUGCUCAUCUCCCAGCACGAAGCCAAGAUCAAGUCUCUGACAGACUACAUGCAGAACAUGGAACAGAAGAGGAGGCAGCUAGAAGAGUCCCAGGACUCGCUCAGUGAAGAGCUGGCGAAGCUCCGAGCCCAAGAAAAAAUGCACGAAGUCAGCUUCCAGGAUAAGGAGAAGGAACAUCUGACGCGGUUGCAGGAUGCUGAAGAAAUGAAGAAGGCUCUGGAGCAGCAGAUGGAGAGCCACCGGGAAGCUCACCAGAAGCAGCUGUCCAGACUCCGAGACGAAAUUGAGGAGAAGCAGAAAAUCAUUGAUGAGAUUCGGGAUUUGAAUCAGAAACUGCAACUGGAACAGGAGAAGCUCAGUUCUGAUUAUAACAAGCUGAAAAUAGAGGACCAAGAGAGAGAAAUGAAGCUGGAAAAGCUCUUAUUGCUCAACGACAAAAGGGAACAAGCCAGAGAAGACCUCAAAGGGCUGGAGGAGACAGUGUCUAGAGAAUUGCAGACACUGCACAACCUUCGGAAACUCUUUGUCCAGGAUCUGACCACCCGAGUUAAAAAAAGUGUGGAGUUGGACAGCGAUGAUGGAGGGGGCAGUGCUGCCCAGAAGCAGAAAAUUUCCUUCUUGGAGAAUAACCUGGAGCAGCUCACCAAAGUUCACAAGCAGCUGGUCCGGGACAACGCAGACCUGCGCUGUGAACUGCCCAAGCUGGAGAAGCGGCUGCGUGCCACCGCGGAGCGCGUCAAGGCGCUGGAAAGCGCGCUGAAGGAGGCCAAGGAGAACGCCAUGCGGGACCGUAAGCGCUACCAGCAGGAGGUGGAUCGCAUCAAGGAGGCCGUGCGGGCCAAGAACAUGGCCAGAAGGGCCCAUUCAGCCCAGAUCGCCAAGCCCAUCCGUCCCGGACACUACCCGGCGUCAUCUCCAACGGCCGUCCAUGCCAUUCGAGGGGGAGGAGGCAGCUCUUCAAACUCCACUCACUACCAGAAAUAAAUACAAAGAUACGAAGAUCCAGAUAGUGGGAAGGAUAGAUGGGAGCAUCCUACUGGAAUCCGUGUUUCUUGGGCCUGCUGAAAAGACUUCUCAGCAGACAGGCCUGUAGAGAUCCUUAACUGGGGAUGAAGAGGAAUGCUGCAUCCUAGUAAAGAAAGGACCGUUUAUUGGCAGAGUUCCUGUGCUUUUCCUCUCCUCUUUCACGCUCCUUGAGAUAUGACUCCAUGUAGCAUGUCAAGGACUACAUUAAUCACCAAUUCCUUUAUUUUUGUCCCCCCUACAGUUUCCUUUUUUUUUUUUUUUUAUACUUGCUUACUCCAGCCAUCUGCAGUACACCAGUUUCAGGUCUUUUGAGCUGUGUAGAGUUUCUGUGUGUACAGAUGUGUGCUCGGACUUUUCUCUUUUUGAGAAAUCUGAAGGAGAUGGUUGCAGAAGAUCCACUUACUACUCAGAACCAUUACCACCGACUCGGCCUCCGGGGUGUUGGGUGGUUUCUGGGUGGUUCCUGGAGCCUCCUCUGGGCAGUGAACUGUCCCAUCUGUACGCCCUAAUGUGCCAUUCCCUAGAGGGGAACAACCAAGUGCCGUGGAGGCAGAUGAUCAUGCUCUGCCUCAACUGUCUGGUUUCCUGUAAAAUAAACACAUUGUUUUAUA